rnacentral:rRNA from 1 species
GAGUUUGAUCAUGGCUCAGAAUGAACGCUGGCGGCAUGCCUAACACAUGCAAGUCGAACGAAGGCUUCGGCCUUAGUGGCGCACGGGUGCGUAACGCGUGGGAAUCUACCCUUGGGUUCGGAAUAACUCAGAGAAAUUUGAGCUAAUACCGGAUGAUGUCGCAAGACCAAAGAUUUAUCGCCCAAGGAUGAGCCCGCGUAGGAUUAGCUAGUUGGUGGGGUAAAGGCCCACCAAGGCGACGAUCCUUAGCUGGUCUGAGAGGAUGAUCAGCCACACUGGGACUGAGACACGGCCCAGACUCCUACGGGAGGCAGCAGUGGGGAAUAUUGGACAAUGGGCGAAAGCCUGAUCCAGCAAUGCCGCGUGAGUGAUGAAGGCCUUAGGGUUGUAAAGCUCUUUUACCCGGGAUGAUAAUGACAGUACCGGGAGAAUAAGCUCCGGCUAACUCCGUGCCAGCAGCCGCCGCCGUAC